AUGUCCUACUGCUGACAGGAACAGAAGGAUCACAUCAUAUUUGUGACCAAAGAAGACUACAAAACUCCAAGCAUUGCAGAGCUGGUGGCUGAUGACCCCAACGAUCCCUCCCUAGGAGAAGCAUGGAUUGAUGCUGCCAAAUGGGAGACUUUGGCACUGCCUCUUCCUUGGGGGAAUGGCCAAUGGCUCCUACAGGGAACAGUUCAAGGCAGCCUUUUCCUGCUUCCACCAUAACAUGAGCAGGUCAAGGGGUCAGACUGUGUAGACCAGUUCCGAGCCAUGCAGGAAGGCAGGCAGGAAUAUCCAGAUCUCUAUCCCCAAGAAGGGGAGGAAGAGGUAGAGGAGAAGCCAGCAGAACAUGUAGAAGAAACAGCUCCCAAUGAGGCUACUGCAACCAAAGAAAAGGAAGGGUCAAGUUAA
rnacentral:lncRNA from 1 species